CGACCUCGCCGGUUGGACACCUCAUCUGUGCCGCCGCCUCUUUGUACCAAAAGUUCAAGCCAAAAAGCCCUCGGCGUUCGGGGAUUUUUUCGUGAGUUUCUGUCGUUCUUUAAUAACCGUGGGUAGACCUGUUGCUUACACAGAUAAGGCAUUCAUCACGUGACGCGAUUGUAGACGACUUACCAGCUGUCAAGCACUAGCUUUGGAUCUGUGCCUGUGUCCGUGCCAUCGCCAGCUUGGUGACGUCUUCAAUUGCCAUUGACUGCCCUGAGCUACCGUCAAGUACUGGCUCCUCGGUGUCCUGCUGCUGCUCACAGUCGCCUCGAGCUGGCCCACGGGGACAUCGGCAGCGCCGCGUCGUCUCAGUGGUCGCCACCUUAUACUGCCACAUCGUCA